AUUGAACGCUGGCGGCAUGCCUUACACAUGCAAGUCGAACGGCAGCACGGGUGCUUGCACCUGGUGGCGAGUGGCGAACGGGUGAGUAAUACAUCGGAACAUGUCCUGUAGUGGGGGAUAGCCCGGCGAAAGCCGGAUUAAUACCGCAUACGAUCUACGGAUGAAAGCGGGGGACCUUCGGGCCUCGCGCUAUAGGGGUGGCCGAUGGCUGAUUAGCUAGUUGGUGGGGUAAAGGCCUACCAAGGCGACGAUCAGUAGCUGGUCUGAGAGGACGGCCAGCCACACUGGGACUGAGACACGGCCCAGACUCCUACGGGAGGCAGCAGUGGGGAAUUUUGGACAAUGGGCGAAAGCCUGAUCCAGCAAUGCCGCGUGUGUGAAGAAGGCCUUCGGGUUGUAAAGCACUUUUGUCCGGAAAGAAAUCCUUGGCCCUAAUACGGUCGGGGGAUGACGGUACCGGAAGAAUAAGCACCGGCUAACUACGUG
rnacentral:rRNA from 1 species